rnacentral:rRNA from 1 species
GAUGAACGCUGGCGGCGUGCCUAAUACAUGCAAGUCGAGCGAACGGACGAGAAGCUUGCUUCUCUGAUGUUAGCGGCGGACGGGUGGGUAACACGUGGAUAACCUACCUAUAAGACUGGGAUAACUUCGGGAAACCGGAGCUAAUACCGGAUGAUAUUUUGAACCGCAUGGUUCAAAAGUGAAAGACGCUCUUGCUGUCACUUAUAGAUGGAUCCGCGCUGCAUUAGCUAGUUGGUAAGGUAACGGCUUACCAAGGCAACGAUGCAUAGCCGACCUGAGAGGGUGAUCGGCCACACUGGAACUGAGACACGGUCCAGACUCCUACGGGAGGCAGCAGUAGGGAAUCUUACGAAAUGGGCGAAAGCCUGACGGAGCAACGCCGCGUGAGUGAUGAAGGUCUUCGGAUCGUAAAACUCUGUUAUUAGGGAAGAACAUAUGUGUAAGUAACUGUGCACAUCUUGACGGUACCUAAUCAGAAAGCCACGGCUAACUACGUG